rnacentral:rRNA from 1 species
UACGGAGGGUGCAAGCAUUAAUCGGAUUUAUUGGGCGUAAAGGGCGCGUAGGCGGAUAGCCAAGUCAGAUGUGAAAUUUUGAUACUCAACAUCAAAACUGCAUCUGAAACUAGUUAUCUUGAGGGUAGGUGGAGAAAAUGGAAUUUCACGUGUAGUGGUGGAAUACGCAGAUAUGUGAAAGAACACCGGUGGCGAAGGCGAUUUUCUAACUUAUACCUGACGCUGAGGCGCGAAAGCGUGGGGAGCAAACAGG